rnacentral:rRNA from 1 species
GAUGAACGCUGGCGGCGUGCUUAAUACAUGCAAGUCGAACGCUAAAGCUUGGUGCUUGCACCGAGCGGGUGUGUCGCGCACGGGUGAGUCACGCGUAGGUACCCCGCUUCUUAGCGGGGGAUCACUAUGGGACACGAUAUCUUACACCGCAUAAGAGUCGGUAUCGCGUGGUGUUGAUGUGAAAGGCGCCAAUGCAUCACGAAGUGACGGAUCUUCGGUGUGUUAGGUAGUUGGUGAGGUAACGGCGCACCAAGGGGUCGAUGCAUAGACGAACUGAGCGGGUGGGCGGCCACACUGGGACUGAGACACGGCCCAGACGCCCACGGGAGGCAGCAGUAGGGAAUCUUCGGCAAUGGGGGCAACCCUGACCGAGAAACGCCGAGUGAGUGAAGAAGGUUGUCGGGUCGGAAAGCUCGGUUGUAAGGGAAGAAAGAGUGUGAGAGUGGAAAGUUCACAGUGUGACGGUAACGGACCAGAAAGCAACGGCUAACUACGUG